rfam:Triticum aestivum genome assembly, contig: Triticum_aestivum_CS42_TGACv1_scaffold_570159_7AS
GUAAUACUUCCUUCGUCCGGAAAUACUUGUCACAUGAAUAGAUAAAAUUGGAUGUAUCUAAAACUAAAAUGCGUCUAGAUACAUUUAUUUUCAUGAAAAGUAUUUCCAAACGGAGGGAGUAUGUA